rnacentral:rRNA from 1 species
GGGGGCUCUUCUGGAGUCGACGACUUCCGUUAUUGAUUAUGACGUACUUGUGCUGAUUGAGAUUUUAACACGAAGUGAGUGGCGAACGGGUGAGUAACACGUGGGUAACCUGCCCAGAAGUAGGGGAUAACACCUGGAAACAGAUGCUAAUACCGUAUAACAGAGAAAACCGCAUGGUUUUCUUUUAAAAGAUGGCUCUGCUAUCACUUCUGGAUGGACCCGCGGCGUAUUAGCUAGUUGGUGAGGUAAAGGCUCACCAAGGCAGUGAUACGUAGCCGACCUGAGAGGGUAAUCGGCCACAUUGGGACUGAGACACGGCCCAGACUCCUACGGGAGGCAGCAGUAGGGAAUCUUCCACAAUGGACGCAAGUCUGAUGGAGCAACGCCGCGUGAGUGAAGAAGGGUUUCGGCUCGUAAAGCUCUGUUGUUAAAGAAGAACGUGGGUAAGAGUAACUGUUUACCCAGUGACGGUAUUUAACCAGAAAGCCACGGCUAACUACGUGCCAGCAGCCGCGGUAAUACGUAGGUGGCAAGCGUUAUCCGGAUUUAUUGGGCGUAAAGCGAGCGCAGGCGGUCUUUUAAGUCUAAUGUGAAAGCCUUCGGCUCAACCGAAGAAGUGCAUUGGAAACUGGGAGACUUGAGUGCAGAAGAGGACAGUGGAACUCCAUGUGUAGCGGUGAAAUGCGUAGAUAUAUGGAAGAACACCAGUGACGAAGGCGGCUGUCUGGUCUGCAACUGACGCUGAGGCUCGAAAGCAUGGGUAGCGAAACAGGGAUUAGAUACCCUGCUAGUCCAUGCCGUAAACGAUGAUACUUAGUGUGGCAGGAUUUCCGCCCUUCAGUGCUGCAGCCUAACCGCCAAU